rnacentral:rRNA from 1 species
UACGAAGGCCCCAAGCGUUAUCCGGAAUUACUGGGCGUAAAGCGUCUGUAGGUGGUUUUAAAGGUUUCGCGUGAAACUUCGGGGCUCAACCCUGAAUUGCGCGGAAAACCAUAAAACUUGAGUGCGGGAGAGGCAAGCAGAAUGGUAUGAGUAGGGGUGCAAUCCGUUGAUACAUACCAGAAUACCAAAAGCGAAGGCAGCUUGCUGGAACGCUACUGACACUGAGAGACGAAAGCGUGGGGAGCGAAAGGG